GGUUAGAGCGCGCGCUUGAUAAGCGUGAGGUCGGAAGUUCAAGUCUUCCCAGGCCCACCAGCCUUCGCUGCUACGCAGCUUCGGCUCGGCAGGCCUUUCUUGAAUGAGGGCUGCUGCGCCGUGGCGCAAGCGAAGGCGAGCGCGCGUGAAGCGCGAUGAGACGCAUUCGUCUUCUGGUACGGGGCCAUAGCUCAGCUGGGAGAGCGCGUGCUUUGCAAGCAUGAGGUCGUCGGUUCGAUCCCGUCUGGCUCCACCAGAUGAAAUCGAAGAUCGAGAUGCCUCGAAUAAUCGUCCGCGAAACAUCAAUUCGCACGCGCUAGUCCGGAUGGACGGCGGCGUGCGUGAUAUCUGACAUCGUAAAGAGGAGAUCGAUCCGAGUUUGGGAUCUGCAAAGCAAUUUGCGGAAUCUCAUUCCUAAUCUCCAGAUCAUUUCGGCGCUCGCUCAUCGCAAGAUGAUUGAGUUGUAAAUGAUCUUUGUAGCGAAGCUUGACCGCCUCGCUAUCGGUUCGAUCUUACGAAGCAAGCUGGUCUUUCUAAUCAGUGUCCAGCCGCAUGCAGCAUUCAUCGAGGGUGCGCGCCUUUUGAUUUCGAUCUUGAGGCAAGUGUGCGGACUACAUUCUGCCGAGUGUGUGGACAUUGAUAAUGAGAGCAAUCAAGUGCCUUAAGGGUGUUCGGUGGAUGCCUUGGCGCUGAGAGGCGAUGAAGGACGUGCUACGCUGCGAUAAGCCGUGGGGAGCUGCGAAGAAGCUUUGAUCCACGGAUUUCC
rnacentral:misc_RNA from 1 species